rnacentral:rRNA from 1 species
GACGAACGCUGGCGGCGUGCUUAACACGUGCAAGUCGAACGGAAAGGCCCUGCUUGCAGGGUACUCGAGUGGCGAACGGGUGAGUAACACGUGGGUGAUCUGCCCUGCACUUCGGGAUAAGCCUGGGAAACUGGGUCUAAUACCGGAUAGGAGCCAUUUUUAGUGUGAUGGUUGGAAAGUUUUUUCGGUGUAGGAUGAGCUCGCGGCCUAUCAGCUUGUUGGUGGGGUAAUGGCCUACCAAGGCGGCGACGGGUAGCCGGCCUGAGAGGGUGGACGGCCACAUUGGGACUGAGAUACGGCCCAGACUCCUACGGGAGGCAGCAGUGGGGAAUAUUGCACAAUGGGCGCAAGCCUGAUGCAGCGACGCCGCGUGGGGGAUGACGGCCUUCGGGUUGUAAACUCCGUUCGCUAGGGACGAAGCUUUUUGUGACGGUACCUAGAUAAGAAGCACCGGCUAACUACGUG